rnacentral:rRNA from 1 species
UACGGGGGGGGGCAAGCGUUGUUCGGAAUUACUGGGCGUAAAGGGCUCGUAGGCGGCCAACUAAGUCCGACGUGAAAUCCCCAGGCUUAACCUGGGAACUGCGUCGGAUACUGGAUGGCUUGAAUUCGGGAGAGGGAUGCAGAAUUCCAGGUGUAGCGGUGAAAUGCGUAGAUAUCUGGAGGAACACCUAUGGCGAAGGCAGCACUCUGGUACGUGACUGACGCUGAGACGCGAAAAGCGUGGGGAGCAAACAGG